UCAGGAUUUAGAAUGCAUGCCCGUGCUGCCUAGAUUCUCCAAGAGGCAACAACAAAAUAUAGUAAUUGAAAAACAGAUAACAUACCAUACUCUCAAUAUAGACCUUAAGAAAAAGCCUACAAGCGGAUGAGUUUGUGGCUGUUAAUGUUUUUGACUCUAUACACACACAACAGAGAACAUAUAUAUAUCCUGAAGAGAUGGAUGGCACUAAUCCAAGUUGGCUUAAUCAUACUAGGAUUGUACAAGCCUAUGAAAUGUGUUUGGCUUUGGAUCAGGACAGUUCUAGAGAAUGUAGUGGAGUUCUUUCGCAGGACUUCUAAGUUUUGUAUCCCUUAGGUUGGAUGAAAUAAACUUAUUAAAAACCCUCAGAAGACUACUUGGAAAAGAUAUGUAUUUUCGGUGAAGCUACAAGCAGGAACCUACCACUGGCCUGAUAAGAUAUCAAAACUUUUAAACUGUUGGAGUGCCUCAUCCCCAGAAGGAGAAGGGUUCUCGUGCAAUUUUUACUUUCAGUUUCGCUGGUUCUCUGUGGAUUGUCAGUUCCAUCCACACACCAGAAUGUCUUCUCAGCUUGGAGUUGGGAAUUCCUGCUGUCAAGCCCAGCUGAGAAGGCUGGGACUGAGCCUUAAGUUGCUGUUACUAGUAAAGAUCCAAGGACUGUAGUCCCAGAGAUGAGGUCUUGUGCUCUUGAUUGCUGAGACUGGAUCCUCCCUCUCCCAAAGAGGUAACAAAUACAAUCCCAGUAUUAAGGACAGCAUAAAUAGACUUAAAUCCAGGAUCUACCUCUUCUCUGGCCCACAAAACCUUGAACAAAAAUGAUUUAAUGGCUUGCCUUCAUCAUAGCUCUGUGGUCAGCCACUGACAGAUGUAAGCUAGAGGUGUCUCAAGACUGUUUAAUUUAUAAUUGAUCUGAUAAUUGUCUCUGUGAUAGUUAAGAAGUCAGCACUGAUGAUUAAGUAGCCACUUUCAUGCAGUAGUUUGUGUAUAAAGAAUUCUCAACUUUUAUUUCCAGGUUGCAGUUUCUAUGUCAAAGGGUAGCUGAUUGAGUACAAGAUUUCUGAAACAAAGAGCUUUAUAUAAAUUUGGAUACAGGAGCAAGGUUUGAAGACCAUGUGUUAUGUUUGUGAUGUAACAUGUAAUAUGUUAGGACCACUACCUGUCAUUGCUGGUUCUUCAAAGUUUUGCAUUAGAAAGUUGCAUUCAACAAAUGUUUGAUAGCAUGGUGUUUUUAUAAGAAAUCUUGUCGUCUUUAAAAUUAAACAAGGAUCAGAUGUAGGGGAGAAGCAUGAUUAUUUCCAAACAACACAAAUCAUCAGCAAUUUCAAAGUACUUUAAAAUAUGUGGUUUUGUCUUUAAUUGUGCUGUUGCUGUGCUUGCUCAUGAGUUGUGGGUGAUAACAUGUGAUUAUCAUCUGCCUACUUGAUCACAUGCACAUUUGUGAUGCUUGCAAGAAAAAACAUUAUCUGGCUGGUAACUGUCAUAUUAUGCAGAGUUUAAGAGACUGUUUCCCAGACAACAGCAUAGUCAUUUUGCAUCCAUGAAGUGUACACCAUCGUGUAUCUGCACUUAAGUCAAACACCCGGUGGCAGCUGCUGCUGCCACUAAUGACAUGGAAAAGAUGGAACUGUUUGUAUAGCCAUAAUCAAACUCCCUGAACUAUGGAAGCCAAGGAAAUUGAACAAUUUAAAAAAAAAAAAAAAGUAAAAAUUCAUGGUUCUAACAAGUCAUACAGCACAUACCUUGUUACAAAUUUUGAGUCAGUUUUUAAAUUGAAACAAAAUCAUUCCCUAGCCAAAGGCCAUUUAAGGGCCAUGUACUACCUGUUUAACACCUCUGCUGCAAAACAUAAAUACAAGUGCACCUAUGUAAUAUGGUAUAUCACUUCACUAUGGCAAUUUGAAUAUGUUAAACCAAAACACCACAGAUAGCGGGUGGAAGACCUAACCUUAAAGGUAGCCAGUAUGCUAAUGAUGAGGCAAUGAGAUGGCCAGGUGAGUGUGAUCGCAUGUACAUUUAUUUUUUACAUUUUGUAUAUUGUCAGAUGGGGGAGAAAGCUAGUAAGAAAAGGAAUUAUUUGCAUUCAAAUUAUAUAAACAGUAUUAGAGCCUAGUUAGUGUAGACAAUAUGUUUCACAACUGCAGUAGAUAUAUCACAUGCUUGAUAAGGAAGGUAUUUGGCCACUUUUGCAUAUGAGACAAAAGUACUCUGAAGGUGUGCAGCUUUAAGCCUCUUAGAACAUUUUAUGGCAGAACAAUAAAAUAAAAGGGAUCUGAAAAUCAAAUGUUUAUUCCAGUGCUAGUGCCAGAUCAUUCUAUUAAAUGCACAUUUUUAAUAUACCCUAACUUAAACUAAAUGUUCUGAAGCAAAGAUAAUGUCUGGGUUUGAUUUUUUUUUUUUUUUUUUGGCAGGGGGAGGAUGUUGGUAGAGUUUGGGGGUUUUUUUCAAGGUGUGGGGGUUAUUUGGGGAAGGGAGAGACAUUAAAUGCUAGGUAACAAAAACGCAAUCUCUUCUGGAUGUUCUUAGCUUCAAUUAACUAAAAAUGAGUGUGCCUUAGCAGCAGUGUAGCAAUAUCAUCAAUUAGCAGUUCAUAUACCAUGCUAUUAUUUCACAGUCAGAUGGCCACAGGUUUCUGAAAAUCUUAUCACAAAUUUUCCAAUUUUUACUUGUUAGGAAUGACUUCAAGUGUGAGUGGAAUAGUAAAUAAAUUUGCUUACUGAUCCUGUGACAUUCAGUCAGAAUAUCCUAUAAAUUUAAAAAGGUGUUCUCUGGGGUGUGUCAUUCCAUAGAGGAUGGGUAGUACGGAGAUCCAGGGUAGAAUCUGAUGGAAAGUUUAUCAUCUUCUAUACAUCUCUUUCACAUACAGUUUCUGACUGCAACUCUGCCUUUCAGAGCUGCUCCAAGAAAGUAAAUUCCAUGGUCAAGUCGAAGAGGCCGUCCUCUCUUCAACCGGAGACUACUUUAAAUCUUUUUGAAAUAUGCAUCACCUUCUGCUAAGAGCCUACUAAAUUACAUUCUAUGAAUGCUAUCCUAGGCAUACUUCACUAUUUCCAUAGUUAAAGUACCGAAAGCUCUUAUCUGACAUUCAAGGCAUAGGUCUACACCAGUAUACUAUAGUAGAAGCUUGCACUCUGGAUUUUUCUCAGGUUUUUCUGUCUUGAAAUCUCAGUCUGCCUUUACCUGAGACAUCGUACAUGCUUUAUCUAAAUCAUGACACUGAAAGUUAUGUAGUAGAAUUGCACAUGUGAUGACAAGUAUCUGCAAAGGUAAGAAAAGCUACUUCAUCAUAGAUGAGGACUUCUGGGAAUUGAAGUCUAAAAGACUGUUCUUGUAUAUGUGAGGCAUCAUGUAUAGAGAGUGGAAUACAUAGACAACACAUGUAAUCCAGCAUAUUCCACUGACUGUGAGUGGUGUUUAUUUUAGCUUAAGACAGUCCUUUGGUGCAGGAAUCAGAUGUUUAUGAAUAGAAAAAAAUACUGAUGUUUCUUUAAAAACAAUUAGCAAACAAUGCAUUCAAGUUGACUGCUUCAGAAAUAUUGUUUAAAAGUAUCACCUUGGUAGCACUGGCUCUUUUUUGACUGGAUAGAGAAGAUUCAGAUAUCUGUUCGAAUGAAAUGGCAAAAUGGUUUUGCCUGCUUUUUAGCAGUGGAUGAGGUCACCCUCAUGCUAAACAAGGUUGAAUAUUAUUUUAGUUUUAUGAUUACAAAGAACAAAAAGAUCAUACAAGGGAGAGAAAGUAGCUGCAUUUUUCAUCUAUGAUUACAAACCUAAUUAAGAUGCUCUGAAUGCUUUUUAGCAUGGAUAAUGUAAGACCAUUGACACUACUCAUUCACUGAAAUAAUUACAACUUUCUGCCUCAUUACAUUUUCAAAAUACUUUUUGAAGUACUGCUAUGUUAUCAGUUAUUCAAAAUUUCCCUCUUCCUAGUAGCUACAUACUUACCACAUACACUUUUAAAGCUACAUUUUUAAAACUAUUUGCUGAAAAUUACCCAUCUGUUGAUUUUCUGGAAUUUAUAAUAUUUGUCAUAGCAGGUUCUUGACACCUAAAUUUGCAUUAAUAAAUAUUUGUGAGUUUAUUAGAUGUAAUUUUUACCCCUUCUAGGUUUCUUGAUGCAAACUUACUGGCAUAGACAGUAAAGUCCUGUGAUUGGUGUAUGCAAAUCUUUGUAUAGAUAGUGAGCAGAGUAAAUGUGUUAGCGUGUAAAAACUGAGCAAUUGAAGCAUGUGUGACUUACUUCUGCAAGUCACUGCCUUUUCUGUAGGGCAGGUACCUAUCCAAAAUGCAGCCAAUCAUUGUGGAUGAUAAAAAGUUGACAGACAGAUCUGCAGCCUUGUGAGAGAAGGAUAUGCUGCUGUUCCGUUCAUCUGCUGUCACCCUUAGUGAGGGAUUCAUUGGCUGUCAGCAAAACGUGACCAAACCACAUUCACGUAAUUGUCCAGUGUUGAAGUAAUUUAUGCAACCUGGUAAAUAAUGUUGAUGAGUUAGUAACUUGACUGCUUUAUUGAGUACAUGGAAACACCAGUAUGGAGACCUCCUUCCCACAAACAAAUCUCAGAUGGCUUUCGAAAGAUCCUAUGUUAUUUUAGACCUUAGCAAUUAUUUUGGGAGCCAGGCUGUUUUAAAAGUGUCUGAGAAGGAAAUUACCAUAAUUUUGAAACAGGAAAUAGAUUUGCAAUAGUACUGUUAUGAAAUUGCAUCCCUUUUUUUUUAGCUCCCUGUAUCACCAUGCUAGAGAACAGCAGCACUUUUUGACUACGGCCUUUGUACAACAGUUGUGCAUGCAUACCUAUAUAUGAAAGAUUUAAGCAGUAGAAAAAUAAUAUAUAUAAUACAUAUUAAGAAACUCCAGCAAGAAUCCUUUUAUGCAAUCAGUAUUGGAAAACAUUCUGAAUCUACAUAUAAAUCUGUGGAAAAGAGUUAGUACCUUAUUGUUUUUAGUCAUAAGAAGGAAGAAAGUACAUCUCCCCUUUUUUAUGAUACAGAAAAUAGAAUAUGGCAGCUGGGAAUAAAUAAUUCUCAUUAUACACUCUGCCUUUUCUGUCAUAUUUUUUCCCCCAAAGACAAGACAAGCUGUCUGAGACAAACUUCUGUGGUGUGGUUUGCACUCGCUGCAUUUCAUUUCUGCAAUAAGAUGUGUACAUGAGCAAUAGUACCUAGAAUCAAAGUGUACAAGUCGGGGUUUGAUAUUGCCCCAUGAGCAAUUGACUUCUCUGUCCUUUAUUUCCAUUCCAUAGGUUUACAUGUGAUUUAAAUUCCUGGCAUAAAAAAGUGAUUUGGAAACUUUCUGGCUAGGCAACCACAUGUUCUGAAUCUUCAGAGUCUCACAGGAUUCCUGCUGCCUAUAUUUCACUUGUCCUUGUGAUGAAGGCAAAUGUUGAAGCAAGGAAUUUCUGUCUAGAUCACAUUUUAACAUGGGAGCAGGGGAACAAUUUCUUUCUGCAGAAAAAUAUGCUCUGGAUUUAGGAGUGGGCAGCCCUUUGAGAGUGGUUGCUGCAGGGACCCAGAAUCAGAGUGGGGAUCUUGUCCUCAUUCAUAUGGCAAUGCUUAGAGAUGUGGAUACUUCGAGGUGAGUUCGCUCAUGAGACGGUAAGUACGAGUCCUUUCCCUCUGAUGGAGUAAGCACCAAGUCUUCACGUGGAGAACCUCAAGGAAAUCUAGCCCCCUCUUGCGGUUUUUUCCACACAGAAGGCAUUAAUCGAUUCAACCUUACUUCUGAAUAAAAAUAUAUAUACCUGCAACUUUUCUCUGAAAGUUGAUAUGGUUACUGCUAUUUCAUCCGUUCUUAGGGAUGACAGGUAAUUAGUCUCAGGAUAGAAAAUAAUAAUCUGUAAAAAUUUUUAUCUGCAUUUCAUAUGCAACUUAACAGCCAUUUUCACCAGAACACAGGGGAUGAGGGGAAAGGGAUUUGUCGGCUAUUUCUAUAAUCUAAUUUUUCUUCAAAUUGAGGGAGGAAUAGCCCCAAAUACUAAAGGAUAAAAAAAAAGAAAAAAAGACUCUCCGGGUUGACUGGUAAAGAAUAGAAGCAAAUACAGGCAUUUGAUUGUCUUACAGUGAUCUGUGUUUUACAUUGGCUUGAACCAAAUUGCACAAUACUAACAAAUACCAAGUCAGUGUUAGUAGAUGAAGAACAAAUGCGCUGCAGUUAGAAAACUGUUGAAAGUCUAGCUAAAACCAAGCUAUGAUUUCAGUAGGCAUUCUUGGGGGGUAUACAGCAUUGGCUUAAUCAGCCCUGACCACUUGUCUUGCAACCUCACUUCCUCCUCUGCAAUACUAGCAUGGCCUUUCUGUGAUUUUUCAGUUCCAUUUAUGGUUCACAGUGCAGAAAACAGAAAUUCAGCUUCAUUGUUCCCUUACAGCGCUCAUCCUGGCGAUAUGAAUAGCUGUUCUGGAGCAACAUGAGUAGCAGCUCGAGAAUGGGAGUAAUUGACCUCAGAUGGCAUCUGUUCCAGCCAGCUUAAACAGCUUUGACAAAAGUUGAGAAAUCAGUUGUAUAGAGUGUAGUUUGGCAAUGUGUCUACUUUGACUGAGGCAGGUAGCUUUAAGAUAGUAUAGAGCUCAGUGGUCUUAAAUGCUGUUUGCUGCAUUCCUGUCCUUUCCGUCUGCCCUGGGUCAAAUGAUGAGUCCAGACCCCAGCUGUGACAAGGAAUUUGGGACUACAUUAGUUAUGAAGAAGGAAGGUGAAAGGUUUUGGAGUGGAAACCAGCUUGCUGAAGCAGAGGGAAGCAGCUCUUAGGACUCAACAUCAGCAGUGGAGAAAAAACUGGUAAAGAAUGCUGGUUAUUUCAAUAAAACCACAUUUUCAGUAUUGAAGAGGAAAUAUUUUUAUUCCAUCUAUGUUUCUCUGAAGAGAUAAAGAGAUGCACUGAAGCAUCUGAAUGCUAAUCCAUGAUACAGUUUGAGCUCUGUCCUGACCUAGUUAAUGUAUCAUCAUGUAAACUCAUUUGCGACUCACACUAUGUUGUGAUGUGAUACAUUGCGUAGCAGUGGCAUUUCCCCAUUAGUGACUCCUUUUGGUACUAAUCAGAAAUCUGGAAGGAUCAAAAUUACUUGAACAAAACCCCUAUUAAAGUAUGAGCAAGAACUAGAGGAGUUGGUACUACCCUACAUUGAGAUAUUUCUGUGCUUUCUUUCUGAAAAGAAGGAUAUUUGCUUAUUAAAAGUACAUUUUGAGGUGACCUUUUCAUAGAGAGAUGUAUAAUGACUUGCAUGGCAUUAAAGAGCUGACUCUGGAAGCACUGAAAAGAGAGCUUUGUUAUCUAACAAAGCUUUAUUAAGAAGUACAUACAGGAAAAUAGAGUGAAGCACUAACAGCCUUAUAUACUGAAUUGACUGCUGAUGGUGAAAGAGUGUUUAUAGGUGGGGUAGUCAUUAAGAAUUGUAUAAUGAAAGUCAUUGAAGAGGUAUGUCUGGAAAAGAAAACAUCGAUAAUGUCAGUUUUCUGCCAGUACAACUGCCAGACUGACAAAGGGAGUGGGAACUUGUUUCUCCAGCUCAGGAAAAAAGCAAGACCUUUGAAUGGUUUUCAUUAAUACUGCAUGCGAAUACCAGUAUUUCACACACAUCAGAACUUUUAAUUUCGGAUCAAGGAACCGGUGCAGUAUUAUUGUAGUGUUAGCUAUAUUUCAGAAUGUGACAGGGGAAAAAAUAUAUGACCAAAUACAUUUUUCUUAAGUGUAUGAAAUAGUAAACUUGCCUCAGUUGUAAUCUGAAAACUGUGAAGUGUUGUGAUACAUGAAGCAGGGUAAGCAACUAGAGCUCAUAUCCUGCCUAUUGCAAGGAAGUGCAGCAGUUAAUACAGAACUUUCCCCAUUACUCUUCACUGUAUCAGUCAUCUGCAGUCUAACCACUGUAAAAUUUGGUUGUGGUGAUCCAUUAUGAAUGCCACUUCUGACCAGCACUCAUUUCAUUCAGAACUGCAGCUUGAAUCACUGCCACUGUCACCAAACCCUUUUCAGUUUAGAAUUUAGUGAUAUUUUGUACUGGAGAGUAGUCUAGUUGACCUCUGGGAUUAGGGCUUUGAACCAGGAUGGUGUUUGCUUUUCUAAGUGUGACAGAAUACCUGCAUUUUUCUUACAGAAAGCUAAAACCAUAAUUGUCUAAGCCUGAGUGGCUUUGACAAUCUGGGGUUUUGGUAGCCGUUAUGGAGUGCAUCAAUGAUCUGGACCUAAUGCUGGAGAUAAAGUGACUUUUAGUUUGUGAGGUAUUUCCUGACAUUUAUGCUUUUCAGUCAAAAUAAUGGAUAUUUUAUGAGGCUGCUUAAAGGGGCCAGCUCACACCUCCCUGCUGGCAAACAUGGGUCUGAAAAUACAAAAUCAUAAUGCCUUGUGUUCAUUGAGACCUUAGAGCACUUUCAUACACAAUUCCGAGAACAAUUUCAAGUCUUUCUUAGUCAUGCCAAGGAGAUUGCUCUGCCAAAAUCUGUAUGAAGCAUAUAAUCACAAGGACCAUUUCAUGCAUCAGUUGCAUUUAGCAGAGUCAUAAGCAAACAGCCCCUGAAAGAUAUAUACGAACUAAGUAAUCUCACCAUGGGUUUCCACAGAUUUUUAUAUUCUUUUGUAGAUGUCCAUUAUGGUCCUUAAUCAUCAUCUUGGUAGUACCUGGGACUGGACAGACUUAACUGAAAGAAUGUUUUCUUUUAUUUCAAUUAUUAGACAGAUACUGUCAACGUAUAGGGGAAAAGAUAUAGAAUUUUACAGUAUUAAAUUCUUGGUCAUAAAAAUGGACACAAUAUUCUCAAG